rnacentral:lncRNA from 13 species
GGGGAAAGCAGUAACUAGAUCAUCCCUCUAAACACAGACAGUCUGCAGCAAGACCUGUUGUUUGGACUUGUCUGGGGUGUGAUAUCCCAGAUAAUUCAUAGCAGGGCUCAGCAAGGCCACAAGAGAUGGAAAUAAAAAUAGCUGUGUAGCUCAGCGCCAUCCUGCUGCGCAGCUCUCUUUUGGGUGGGAUCUCCAGGAGUGGUAUGUAAAACAGGCAACCAGAGAACCCAGUGUCCUCCUCUCCCCUGCUCCCAAAUGUGCAGAGGCUCAAGCGUGCGGAUUGCUCCAUGGAGAUCAGUGUUGCUACUCACAUGCUCAGCACUAAGCAUGUGCACAUGUCUGUCCAGGAUCCAGGCCAGAAGGAAGGAUGACUUUUUCAUCCUGCAGUUCUGGGACCCCGGGGGAUGUCUGCGCUGCAGAACGGGGGAAGCAGAAAAUGUGGCCACGUGCAGCUCUGCAUUCAGAAGGAAGCAGCUCACUGGCAGGUCUGUGGGGCAGGGAUGUACCAUCCCACCACCAGCACAGGGCUGGUUCAUCACAGCUGUUGGCUCUGCUCCAGCAGCUCCAGCAAGCUGAUAAGUCUCAGCAUUCCCUAAAAUCCCAAUUACUCCUGUGCUUGAGCAGUACUUAUGAAGUGCUUCAUCUACCUGAAAUGCAAAGGGAUUUAAAAAAAAAAAAGAAGCUCUUUCUGCAAGAACUUUUCCAGAAACAUUCCCUGAUAAAAGGAAUCCUCAAGUCUUUCAAAAAUAAUAGCCAGAGAGAAAUAACAAGCUUCUUUCGGAUAGCAGGCAGAAAAUGUGGCUUUAAAAGAGGAGGUCGGACAGGAAGCAGCAAAGUUCCAGGAGGAUUUCUGCGUCAAGCAGGAGAACAGCUGGCUUCUUGAAGUGUGAGCUUCAGAGAUCCUUAAAACCCUCAGCUGCACAGUUGGAGCAGUCAGGACUGAGGAACCAGAACCCCAGCACUUGCACUUCGAGUCAGGGCUGAGCUGCACAAGCCUCUUCAGAGUGGGAAGAGAAAUCUCUAUGCUCAG